rnacentral:rRNA from 1 species
AGUGAACGCUGGCGGUAGGCCUAACACAUGCAAGUCGAACGGCAGCACAGUAAGAGCUUGCUCUUACGGGUGGCGAGUGGCGGACGGGUGAGGAAUACAUCUGAAUCUACUUUUUCGUGGGGGAUAACGUAGGGAAACUUACGCUAAUACCGCAUACGACCUACGGGUGAAAGCAGGGGAUCUUCGGACCUUGCGCGAUUGAAUGAGCCGAUGUCGGAUUAGCUAGUUGGCGGGGUAAAGGCCCACCAAGGCGACGAUCCGUAGCUGGUCUGAGAGGAUGAUCAGCCACACUGGAACUGAGACACGGUCCAGACUCCUACGGGAGGCAGCAGUGGGGAAUAUUGGACAAUGGGCGCAAGCCUGAUCCAGCCAUACCGCGUGGGUGAAGAAGGCCUUCGGGUUGUAAAGCCCUUUUGUUGGGAAAGAAAAGCAGCAGGUUAAUACCCCGCUGUUCUGACGGUACCCAAAGAAUAAGCGCCGGCUAACUUCGUG